rnacentral:rRNA from 1 species
AGAGCGAACGCUGGCGGCAGGCUUAACACAUGCAAGUCGAGCGGGCGUAGCAAUACGUCAGCGGCAGACGGGUGAGUAACGCGUGGGAACAUACCUUUUGGUUCGGAACAACCCAGGGAAACUUGGGCUAAUACCGGAUAAGCCCUUACGGGGAAAGAUUUAUCGCCGAAAGAUUGGCCCGCGUCUGAUUAGCUAGUUGGUGAGGUAACGGCUCACCAAGGCGACGAUCAGUAGCUGGUCUGAGAGGAUGAUCAGCCACAUUGGGACUGAGACACGGCCCAAACUCCUACGGGAGGCAGCAGUGGGGAAUAUUGGACAAUGGGCGCAAGCCUGAUCCAGCAAUGCCGCGUGAGUGAUGAAGGCCUUAGGGUUGUAAAGCUCUUUCGCCCGUCGACGAUGAUGACGGUAGCGGGAGAAGAAGCCCCGGCUAACUUCGCGCCAGCAGCCGC